AGAACGAACGCUGGCGGCAGGCUUAACACAUGCAAGUCGAACGCUCACCUUCGGGUGGGAGUGGCAGACGGGUGAGUAACGCGUGGGAACGUACCCUUUGGUUCGGAAUAACCCAGGGAAACUUGGGCUAAUACCGGAUAAGCAGGAAACUGGAAAGGUUUACCGCCGAAGGAUCGGCCCGCGUCGGAUUAGCUAGUUGGUGGGGUAAAAGCCUACCAAGGCGACGAUCCGUAGCUGGUCUGAGAGGAUGAUCAGCCACACUGGGACUGAGACACGGCCCAGACUCCUACGGGAGGCAGCAGUGGGAAUAUUGGACAAUGGGCGCAAGCCUGAUCCAGCCAUGCCGCGUGAGUGAAGAAGGCCUUAGGGUUGUAAAGCUCUUUCAGCGGGGAAGAUAAUGACGGUACCCGCAAGAAGAAGCCCCGGCUAACUUCGCGCCAGCAGCCGC
rnacentral:rRNA from 1 species